rnacentral:rRNA from 1 species
AACCUCCGCAAUGUGAGAAAUCGCGACGGGGGGAUCCCAAGUGCCAUUCUUAACGGGAUGGCUUUUCAUUAGUGUAAAGAGCUUUUGGAAUAAGAGCUGGGCAAGACCGGUGCCAGCCGCCGCGGUAACACCGGCAGCUCUAGUGGUAACAAUUUUUAUUGGGCCUAAAGCGUCCGUAGCCGGUUUAAUAAGUCUCUGGUGAAAUCCUGUAGCUUAACUGUGGGAAUUGCUGGAGAUACUAUUAGACUUGAGACCGGGAGAGGUUAGAGGUACUCCCAGGGUAGAGGUGAAAUUCUGUAAUCCUGGAAGGACCGCCUGUUGCGAAGGCGUCUAGCUGGAACGGUUCUGACGGUGAGGGACGAAAGUUAGGGGCGCGAACCGGAUUAGAUACCCGGGUAGUCCUAACUGUAAACGAUGCGGACUUGGUGUUGGGGUGGCUUUGAGCUGCUCCAGUGCCGAAGGGAAGCUGUUAAGUCCGCCGCCUGGGAGUACGGUCGCAAGACUGAAACUUAAAGGAAUU